rnacentral:tRNA from 1 species
GCCUGGGUGGCUCAGUCGGUUAAGGUUAAGCGUCAGACUUUGGCUCUGGUCAUGAUCUCGCGGUCUGUGAGUUCGAGCCUCGCGUCAGGCU